UCCAUCGGCCAUUUUGUGUCUUCUUCAAAGCGGUUCGACAUCGUCCACUUUUUGGUCACAUUUUGUAGCGGAGUGCGGGGCGGAUUGUGAACAAUGUCUAGCUGGGGGAAGAGCCAAGACAACGCAGUGUUGAUUAUGAAGAAGCAGGUGGAGCAGCUGCGGAGGGAAGCGCUGAUGGAGAGGGUGAAAGUGUCGCAGGCAGCGGCGGACCUAAGGAACUACACCCAGCAGAAUGCCCAGCACGAUGGCUUGUUGGUUGGCAUUCCAUCGUCACAAAAUCCCUUCAAGGAGAGCACCAAGUGCAACAUUUUAUGAUGGAGCUGAAGUGCAGCACAAUGUCAUGAUUCUCUACAAAUGUUCUGUUGCAUGCAGAUCCAGUACUGUGUUGAUAGGUGAAGAGGAACAGGAUGACACACAGCUUGGACAACAUGAACAAAGUGGUGGCAGACAGACAUUGUGCCUUCCUGAUAGUUAGUCUUGUCUGCUGAGGAAAAAAAGCUUGAGCAUGCACUACCACAUUCCGUAGUUGAUAGUCACCGCCACAACAAAAUAUUAACAAAGGAUUUAAUGUUGAAAGGUAUCUCUACUUGCAUGACAUAAUACUCUACAGAACACUCUUGAUAUUCAGGUUACCUGAUACAUGAAAAUGACUUAACUUUCAGUAACUUACUAGAGCUGUGUUUAGAUCAUUGAUUGAAUACAAUAACAAUUUCCAGUUUCUGUACUAUUUUGUACAAAAGGAUUCAGAUGUAUAAAUUAUGCACUUUUCAAUGCCCUUCCUUAUUGAUACCUUCCAAUGUUUGGAAAUUGUGUGUUUUUUCAGCUUUACAAAACGUUCCUGCAUGGCUCAGUAGUUUUAUCCUCUACAGUAACUGAAGUGUACAGACCCAUGUUUUAAAACAAUUCAAUGUAAAUUCCAGGACUUUGAAAACCUUUUGCCUUACACAGCUAUUCUUAUCCAAAAGCCAUUUUUUAGCUUUCACAUUCCACAACAAUAUUUUGAUAUGGUAGUGGUGCUUUUAGUAGGGUGACAGUAACUAGGAUUUACAUCAGUAUCUUCCAUUAAAAAAAAGUAGGUAUUUGGCAAUACAGUUUAUUUAGAAGACAUUUUUGUCUUGUCAGAAUGUCCAUGGUCCACUAACUUAGUUGGAAAGAUGUUGAAUAAUGAACUGUAUAAACUGUGCCAAAAUAACCUACUUGAAAAAAAAAUGACCACUUCCAUCCUACUAGCUUCCCACAGUAUGACUAUGAGGCUCUAUUUUGCAUACAAAUACAGUAUGUGUUGUUUCAAUACAGCUCUUCAAUACAAAUUGUAAUGAGGUGAAGAUAUAUAUUUAUAGUAGUGCAUUGUUUUGAACAUGCUAGAGUUACUAGUAUGUAACUGAUAUCCUUGGCCUUUUGUCUAGCAGGCAGUUCAAAGUGCAUUGAUGAGAAGAUUGUAUUUUGCAGUAGUUUAUUCACUUGUAGUAAUUGGGGUGAUGCAAAUGAAAAUAACUAAAAUAGAAAACCCUGUACGCAACAAUUAUGUAAAGUACAUAAUGCCUUGAAGACCAUUAACGGUACCAGCAGUUGGUAACUGGGAACUUGUAUCCCGUAAAACAGUGUUUCUGUACAUUUUGUUUAUUUUCAUGAGAUGUUGAUUAAUAUCUGUGGAAGACAUCUCCUGGCUCCUCUAAGUCUAAGGUAAUGAAUAAAGAACAAACUUCUACUGAGCAAUUUAUAGACCAAAAAAAACAAAGGUAUAAAGCCAUCAA